rnacentral:sRNA from 16 species
UCCUCAACACAAACCACAGAUCUGUGUCCAGUAGUCCUGUUCCAGCUGCUGGUCGUCCUUCGUGAUGGCUAGUAGCUGUGUUUCGGUUGAUUCUGGACAGUUCGACGACCUAUGGAGCCAUCACUUUCUUAUGAUGUCAAUUUCCGGUCGACAGAUCUCAGAGCGAGAUACAGUGACCAGGAGUUCACUCUGCCUUGAGCUUCCGUCAGGUGAGCUCGGUGAGAUGGCCUGGUUGCUGAAGACGCCAUAUUCCGUCUCCCUUUACCGAUGUGCCCCUUCUUGGGGCCAGGCCGUCGGCUGAUGAGGUUAGGGACUAACCAUGGCAGCCAACAUCC